AGAGAGAGACAUGCGCGCAUAUCAAUAAGCGGAGGAAAAGAAACUAACUAGGAUUCCCUCAGUAACGGCGAGUGAAGCGGGAAGAGCUCAAAUUUGAAAUCUUCAAGGGUUCUACCUUGACGAAUUGUAGUUUAAAGAAGUGGUUUCUGUUGAGGUUUUGGUAAAAGUUCUUUGGAAUAGGACAUCAUAGAGGGUGAGAAUCCCGUAUUUGACCAUUACUUUCCAACUUUGUGAUACACUUUCAAAGAGUCGGAUUGUUUGGGAAUGCAGUCCAAAAUGGGUGGUAAAUUUCAUCUAUAGCUAAAUACUGGCGAGAGACCGAUAGCGAACAAGUACCGUGAGGGAAAGAUGAAAAGAACUUUGAAAAGAGAGUUAAACAGUACGUGAAAUUGUCAAAAGGGAAGCGUUUGACACCAGUGUUGUUUUCUCGAAAAUCAAUUAAAAAAGGCAGGAUUUUGUGUUGUAUUGACUUUAUCAGCUUUCUGCACUCUUUUCUUGUCUUUUUUAAUGCACUUUUCGUUUAACAAGUCAACAUCAAUUUCUUUUGUUGUAAAAGGGUCAUUGGAAGGUGGCUUUCUUUUCGGAGAAAGUGUUUAUAGCCUUUGACUCCUGCAAUCGGAGAGACUGAGGUCUGCAGCGUAGAUCCUUCGGGGUUAGAUACAUUUGUGCUAAGUUAUAGCCUUUUAUAGACAACUUGUUGACUAUGAUUAGUCAUUGUAGCUUACUCGCUUAUGCUAUUUUACCUACGCUUAGGAUGUUGAUGUGAUACUGCGAGC
rnacentral:rRNA from 1 species